CUCAAUCCCUCUGUUACUGUGUCACUAUACCCCACUCCCUCUAGCAUGUAAGCUCACUGAGCAGGGACUCAAUUCCUCUGUUACUGUGUCACUAUACCCCACUCCCUCUAACAUGUAAACUCACCGAGCAGGCCCUCAAUCCCUCUGUUACUGUCACUAUACCCCACUCCCUCUAGCAUGUAAGCUCCCUGAGCAGGGCCCUCAAUCCCUCUGUUACUGUGUCACUAUACCCCACUCCCUCUAACAUGUAAGCUCACUGGGCAGGGCCCUCAAUCCCUCUGUUACUGUGUCACUAUACCCCACUCCCUCUCACAUGUAAACUCACUGAGCAGGGCCCUCAAUCCCUCUCUUACUGUCACUAUACCCCACUCCCUCUAGCAUGUAAACUCACUGAGCAGGGUCCUCAAUCCCUCUGUUACUGUAUCACUAUACCCCACUCCCUCUAACAUGUAAACUCACUGAGCAGGGCCCUCAAUCCCUCUGUUACUGUGUCACUAUACCCCACUCCCUCUAACAUGUAACCUCACUGAGCAGGCCCUCAAUCCCUCUGUUACUGUGUCACUAUACCCCACUCCCUCUAACAUGUAAACUCACUGAGCAGGGCCUCAAUCCCUCUGUUACUGUGUCACUAUUCCCCACUCCCUCUAACAUGUAAACUCACUGAGCAGGGC